CUUCCCCUGUGUGGCUCGUAUUGGGUCGCGUGAAUUGAACCAACAGAUCAUUGAAGUGGGAGGAAAUGCUGUUCCGCGGUGAGCAUGCCCCGCGCGUGGGGACGCCUGAUGCGGAAGCUGCCCUCCCCAUCUGGGAAACCAGGUUCAAAUGAUCCGGUCCUCACGGCCGCGCGGAGGAAGC
rnacentral:other from 1 species